rnacentral:lncRNA from 1 species
CGGGCUGUGGUGCUGCUCCUUGUCACUCCUUUCCCUGCAGUAUUUACAGAGCCAGGCAUUCACAUUCUAUACCCGUCCACAUACCUCAAAUUCUGACAAAGGACACCUUCCUUUUCUCUUGAAGCUGAUCCUGCACCUGCCUCCUCUCUGGGCUUCUGAAAACUUGCCACAUUCCCUACAGACCCAUUCUGAGUACCUCCAAGAUGCUCCUCGUAAUCCAUCAUCCACAGCUUUCUUUUCCUGCAUCCACAGCUUUCUUUUCCUGCCAUCCCUUUCGUUCCCUUCACUAAUUCCUCCUCAUUUACAACAUUAAUGCAGACAUCUCAGCUUCAUCUCCAAGACUGUUAAUUCUACCGUGUUUAUUUAUCUGUUCCUGGUUUUUGAGGCUGUUCUCCAUAGUCUCUGCCUUACCCCAGUCAUGUCCCGUUGUAUUUCUGAUUCUUUCUGUGAAGCACUGAGCUAAAAUUCACCUGACUCAUGGGGCAGCCUUGCUCCAGUCUGCAGCAUGUCUCUGGACUAGUUUGCAGACAGAACAGCUGCCUGCUGUGCAGAGGUGUGUCAGACCUGGCGUUUGUAGUGCCUGUCUGCUUCUGGGUACCUGGAAAAAGUACCUGCUAAAUUGUGUGAGUAAGCCAGGCUUAGCUUUCCUCUAAAGCUCUGAUAUAAAUGGCGUGAUAAGUACGGAUGGUGUGGCAAGGCUGAGAAACAGUCGGUGGUGAGUUUGGGAAACAGUCGAUGGUAAGUUUGAGAAACAGUUGACGGUAAGUUUGAGAAAUAGCAGAGUUGUGAAUUAAGCUUAUGACUCAACCCUUAUUGAUGUUACCAGUCAAUUAGAGAAUCAUGGAAACUCUCAGCUGUACAUUUAGUGUGGGCAGCGUUACGUACUGGAACACAAUUGCCUUUCACUCACUCAGAAAGGCCUUUCCUGGGCUUUGUAUCCUGCAUCAGUGAAAACACAGGCAUCUACAGUUGUGAGAGUAGAGGAAAGAAGGGGGAAGCUCAGUGGAAAAAUACCUCAUAAAUGAGUUUUAGAGGAUCAGUAGGGAAGAAGGAGGAGAUCAACAUCUCUUUAAAUGAAUUGUUUGAAUGAUUGCAGCUUUUCCUUCACUCCAAUUUACUCAAGCUGUGCAAAACAGCUCUAGAUAAAGUAUAUUCUCAUUAUGUCUUCACUGAUUAGGGAAAGAAGUAGAGAAAAAAAAACACAACUGUAGAUGACUUAGGACUGGACUGAGAAUAUUCAUGGGUCUUGGGAUGUGCUCUUGAUCAGGCUAAGGGUUAUUAUGAUGAAAACAUCUGACACUAAGCUUGUGACUUGUAAAUAAAUCUAGAGUCAAAGAAUUUGAACA